GUCAGCAGCUUUAUCACCCUUCAUUUCACAACUGGCAAUCCACUGAAGUUCAGCAGGAGUGAGCCUGGCCAGUACCUGGAUGGGAGACCUCCUGGGAAAGCUAAGUUUGCUGCUGGAA
rnacentral:rRNA from 1 species